GCCAGUGUGCUGUAGUGGUUUGAGUGUUGGACUAUGACUCUGGAGAUCAGGGUUCACUUCCCAGCUCGGUCA